rnacentral:rRNA from 1 species
GAUAUCCACUCGUGACUGGAGUUCAGACGUGUGCUCUUCCGAUCUAUCCGUUGAUAUCGAGAGGAACACCAAGGGCGAAGGCAAGUAACUAGGGAAUCUUUGACGCUGAGGAACGACAGCUAGGGGAGCGAAAGGGAUUAGAGACCCCUGUAGUCCUAGCCGUAAACUAUGCUCGCUAGGGAUUGGUACUUAGUAUCAGUUCCGUAAGCUAACGCGUUAAGCGAGCCGCCUGGGGAGUACGAGCGCAAGCUUAAAACUCAAAGGAAUUGACGGGGACCUGCACAACCAGUGGAGCAUGUGGUUUAAUUCGAUACGAAGCGAAAGACCUCACCCAGGUUUGACAUACUAUCGUUUAAAUUUCUAGAAACAGAUUUUGAUCCGCGAAAGUGGAUGAUAGUACAGGUGCUGCAUGGCUGUCGUCAGCUCGUGCCGUGGGGUGUUCCUUUCAGUAGGGAAACGAGCGCAACCCCUGCUAUAUGUUGAAUAUUCAUAUAGAACUGCCUAAUUUAUUUAGGAGGAAGUGGGGACGACGUCAAGUCAGCAUGGCCCUUAUAUCUGGGGCAACACACAUUCUACAAUGGAGCCGACAAUGGGUUGCCAAGCAGCAAUGCGGAGCUAAUCCCACCAAACGGCUUCUCAGUGGGGAUUGGAGGCUGCAACUCGCCUCCAUGAACGUGGAAUUGGUAGUAAUCGCGAAUCAGCAUGUCGCGGUGAAUACGUUCUCGGGUCUUGUACACACCGCCCGUCAAGUCAGCAAAGUUAGGGGCACCCGAAUGUCUAUUGAUAGGCAGAAGGUGACACUAGCGAUGAAGAUUAAGUCGUAACAAGGUAUCCGUACUGGAAGGUGCGGAUG